GGCAAGGUAGCUCAGAUGGUUAGAGCGCUCGGUUCAUACCCGAGUUGUCGGGGGUUCAAUUCCCUCCCUUGCUACCA
rnacentral:tRNA from 1 species